UACGUAGGGGGCAAGCGUUGUCCGGAUUUAUUGGGCGUAAAGCGCGUGUAGGCGGCCAUACAGGUCAGCUGUGAAAACUCGAGGCUCAACCUCGAGACGUCGGUUGAAACCGUAUGGCUAGAGUCCGGAAGAGGAGAGUGGAAUUCCCGGUGUAGCGGUGAAAUGCGCAGAUAUCGGGAAGAACACCCGUGGCGAAGGCGGCUCUCCGGAACGCAACUGACGCUGAGACGCGAAAGCGUGGGGAGCAAACAGG
rnacentral:rRNA from 1 species